UGGGGAAUAUUGGACAAUGGGUGAGAGCCUGAUCCAGCCAUGCCGCGUGCAGGAAGAAGGCGUUAUGCGUUGUAAACUGCUUUUUGCCAGGGGAUAAAAAGACCGUGCGCGGUUAAUUGAAGGUACCUGGUGAAUAAGCCACGGCUAACUUCGUGCCAGCAGCCGCGGUAAUACGAAGGGUGCUAGCGUUGUUCGGAAUCACUGGGCGUAAAGCGCGCGUAGGCGGCUUAACAAGUCAGAGGUGAAAGCCUGGAGCUCAACUCCAGAACUGCCUUUGAAACUGUUAAGCUUGAGUGUCGGAGGGGAUAGCGGAAUUUCUAAUGUAGAGGUGAAAUUCGUAGAUAUUAGAAGGAACACCGGUGGCGAAGGCGGCUAUCUGGACGACAACUGACGCUGAGGCGCGAAAGCGUGGGGAUCAAACAGGAUUAGAUACCCAAGUAGUCCCUGAGCGGGCUGGCAAGGCG
rnacentral:rRNA from 1 species